rnacentral:rRNA from 1 species
AUUGAACGCUGGCGGCAUGCUUUACACAUGCAAGUCGAACGAGUGGCGCACGGGUGAGUAAUACAUCGGAACGUGUCCUAUCGUGGGGGAUAACUGAUCGAAAGAUCAGCUCAUACCGCAUACGAUUGGAGCGGCCGAGGCCGGAUUAGCUAGUUGGUGAGGUAAAGGCUCACCAAGGCGACGAUCGUUAGCUGGUCUGAGAGGAUGACCAGCCACACUGGGACUGAGACACGGCCCAGACUCCUACGGGAGGCAGCAGUGGGGAAUUUUGGACAAUGGGCGCAACCCUGAUGCAGCCAUGCCGCGUGCAGGAUGAAGGUCUUCGGAUUGUAAACUGCUUUUGUCAGGGAGGCGUUACCUGAAGAAGAAGCACCGGCGAACUCCGUGCCAGCAGCCGCGGUAAUUC